GUGUGAGAUGUAUUAGAAUGUGUUUGGUUUUUUUGCUACCAAACAGUAGGAAACAGGAAGUAGACGUGCCAGUUGCAGACAUUUCCUGCCGCGAUAACUCACGCCUUACUGAAAUGAAAUAUGGUGGUCUAAGCACUUCUUCCCUGACAGCGUAAUGCAUUCAGUCUGUCUGUGGAGGCACUUUACCUGGCAGCCAGGGAAUUCUAGCUGCACUGUUCAAUUCAGAGGUGAAUAGAGGUGAAGCAUUGAUGAAGCAGAAAAACAGCUCCAAAUAUAGAAUGUUGACUCAUCUGUUUCCUGAGCUUCUUGCAGCAGCUCUAACAGGCUGGUCGCCUCUUCUAAGUUAUGGUUUACCUUAGAUGUACCAGGGAUUUUUGAGUGGAUCCACAGGAGGAGAACAAUAACCUGAAGUGAACACAGCAUAUUGCUGGAGGGGAAAAGAGGAUUUGAGUUUGCAGCUCAUCAGCAGGUCGGAGUCAAAACUGCAGCUGGACAUUUCUCUGGCAUAACACAGUAAAGUCGUGCAACUUGAGCAUCAUGUGGCGAUGAGUCGACCACAAUCACCUCUGUGUUCUAAGGAAUUCUCCAGGUGGUUGUCGAGACAGCUGUCUGACAGUGACACAGGACAAGGUUCCGAACCCCAUUGGUCAACGGACAUGAGGCAGGCAUACUCUGCACAAUGCAUUGAAAAUUGUAAAUUGCUCAAGAGUACUUUGACAUGUGGCGGGAAGAAGCUGGAAUCAAACCUACAAUCUUCCAAUCACAAGACGACUACCCACAGAGCCGCAGUCGCCCAGAUCCAGUUCCAGCACAGUUCAUCGUAACAAUGUAGGACCUGAUGACUGCAAUAUUUUUAUUCCAAUGCCAAAAUUACAAACACCUUAAGGAGUUUAAAAUAAUUUUUUUGAAUUUGUUUCAAAUAUUCAGUGCAAAUCUCAACUAAUUACAUAAAUGUGUGUGAUAAUUGUGACAAAUGUCGCUGUGGUCACCACAUUCAUUGUUAGGAUGCCUCUGGUUGUGGCUGUCAAAACAAGGACAUCUUUCAUGGUGUUGUUGCCCCUACUUACAGCAUACUUAA